UGGGGAAUAUUGCACAAUGGGGGAAACCCUGAUGCAGCCAUGCCGCGUGUGUGAAGAAGGCCUUCGGGUUGUAAAGCACUUUCAGUUGUGAGGAAGGCAUAUACGUUAAUAGCGUAUGUGUUUGACGUUAGCAACAGAAGAAGCACCGGCUAACUCCGUGCCAGCAGCCGCGGUAAUACGGAGGGUGCGAGCGUUAAUCGGAAUUACUGGGCGUAAAGCGCAUGCAGGCGGCUUGUUAAGCCAGAUGUGAAAGCCCGGGGCUCAACCUCGGAAUAGCAUUUGGAACUGGCAGGCUAGAGUCUUGUAGAGGGGGGUAGAAUUUCAGGUGUAGCGGUGAAAUGCGUAGAGAUCUGAAGGAAUACCGGUGGCGAAGGCGGCCCCCUGGACAAAGACUGACGCUCAGAUGCGAAAGCGUGGGGAGCAAACAGGAUUAGAUACCCCCGUAGUCC
rnacentral:rRNA from 1 species